UCAACCUGAGAGUUUGAUCCUGGCUCAGAGCGAACGCUGGCGGCAGGCCUAACACAUGCAAGUCGAACGGAUCCUUCGGGAUUAGUGGCGGACGGGUGAGUAACACGUGGGAACGUGCCCUUUGGUUCGGAACAACUCAGGGAAACUUGAGCUAAUACCGGAUGUGCCCUUCGGGGGAAAGAUUUAUCGCCAUUGGAGCGGCCCGCGUCUGAUUAGCUAGUUGGUGGGGUAAAGGCCCACCAAGGCGACGAUCAGUAGCUGGUCUGAGAGGAUGAUCAGCCACAUUGGGACUGAGACACGGCCCAAACUCCUACG
rnacentral:rRNA from 1 species